rnacentral:rRNA from 1 species
CAGUCGCCGCGGGAAAACGUAGGUGGCAAGCGUUGUCCGGAAUUAUUGGGCGUAAAGGGCUCGCAGGCGGUUUCUUAAGUCUGAUGUGAAAGCCCCCGGCUCAACCGGGGAGGGUCAUUGGAAACUGGGAAACUUGAGUGCAGAAGAGGAGAGUGGAAUUCCACGUGUAGCGGUGAUAUGCGUAGAGAUGUGGAGGAACACCAGUGGCGAAGGCGACUCUCUGGUCUGUAACUGGCGCUGAGGAGCGAAAGCGUGGGGAGCGAACAGGAUUAGAUACCCCAGUAGUCCCUGUCUCUUAUAA